GCGCAACAUAUUAUGAGUGCUCAGGAGGGCGGGUCCGAGUUAAAAACUUGGGGUCUGAUACUGGGGGCGUUGAAAGCAGCCAGAGUAGAGGGAAAGUUUCUUGCAGGGGCUGAGAGGAGACGGAGCCGCCAACGACCGUUGGCGAGAUGGCGCCGGCUGAGCCGACCGCGCUCAGUUCAAAAGAAGACAAACACCAAGAGAGCAAACGUUCGUUGUCUCGUCUCCCGCCCCGUAUCCGGACCCCUCAGGCGGAACGUGGUAUCCUUUACCUGAAUUACGUCAGUGUUACCUGACUCAAGGGGGCGGAGGAAGCUGUGAUCUACAUGGGCAGGAUCAACUUACUGCCCACAAGGGGAGGGACCAGACGAAAGGUCCAUCCAAUGCGGACAGGGGGCGUAGCCUACCGUCUCUGGUCACUCCCAGGGGCGGUGGUGUGAGGAAUAGUGUAGAGGAGAAAGAGGGGACUGGCUUUGAGUGCAGGGGGAGGGAUCAAAUGACGGACUGGAAUCGGAUUAGAUCGGAGGCUUUGGGGAAGGGUGUAGUUCCAGAGGCAUUCCGGGUGAUUGUGAGUGAUCGUGGUCCCGAAUGGGUACCGCCUGACCCCGGGGGUGUUGCGCGCCUGGUGGAAUUUAUGGAUAAAAGAGGCUUGAAAUCGCCUCUGACGUUAAAUGCACUACAGGCUUUGGCUGCCCCGGGGCCUCUCCUCCCCCGUGACAUCACAAACUUAGUGCGUGUGGUGCUCAGGCUGGUCCAGUAUACGUUAUGGGAGACGGACUGAAUGGCCGAGUUGGGGGGGCGUGCCGGGGCGGCGGGGGUCGGCCCGGGCCGCUCCCUGUGUGGGACCGGCAUACAGCAGCUUUCAGGGAGGGCCGUGGGAGUGGCUUCGCCCCAGGGCCAGCUAGCGAGACUAAGGCCAGGGGAGCAAAUAGCGGCCACAGAUGCAAUGGUGGAAGCGUUUAAUAAACUCGCGCAUAAGGCUGAACCACCUGCUCCGUGCACAGAUAUUACCCUGGGCCCGAAUGAGUCCUUUCAAAGCUUUGCAGACAGGCUUUUAGCUGCUGUCUGAUCUCCUGAAACCGGCCCAAGGGCCAGUGAUCAUUGAAUGCCUGCGACAGAAAUCACAUGACAAUGUUAAGGCAUCGCUGCAAGCCGGCCCGAGUACGCAUAAUACCCCAGGAGAAAUUAUUCACUAUGUCUUAGAUAAGCUCAAGGUGGCUCAUUUAACUAAUGAAGGGCUAGCCACAGCUAUAGUCGCAGCUGUUGGCCCGCAACAGCAAAGGUUGCUGCAGCAGCAAGGGCUGUUUCUGAUGCAACCAGUAUGGCCACGUUACAGCACAGUGCCCCUCUGGGGGAGGCCAGUCAGGGCCUCCUGAUUGCAGGAAGGGCUUGCUAGAGGGUAUCUGUUGUCGGGUAAGCAGCAGUUAAACAUCAUGAAUCUGGGAAAUUCUGUGGGUACCAUUGUGAAAAGUAAUACCAGAUAUAAGUAACAUAUCUGCAAAAACUGAGUCUAGGUGCGAGUUUUUCUACAGAAAUUCUUCGUUGGCAAACCGAAGCCAACUCCAGAUCAACCGAGGGACGGACAACGGGAUCGAGAACUACUCAUCAAGAGGAGCACCACACCUGCAACGCUGACACUUCCGAUGUUGCUGAUGUUUAUGGUGUCCCUGGCGAUCACAGCGUGUCGCAAACAACUACAAUGGAAGCAAGAACAUAGGCAGAAGAUUAAACAAGAGCGUAAUCCCUUUGGGAGUUGGCUGAACAGACUGUUUGUGGGAAUGGGUUCAUGGUUAAAGCAAUUGCUUAAGGUUUUCGCUACGGGGCUUGCAAUUUCUGUAUGUAUUCUAAUCUGUCUUCUAUGCUUUGUAGGAUGCUUGCAGAGCUGCCUGCAACAAAUGAUGGAAAAGACUUUUGACCAUCGGAUUGAGUAUCAUAGACUGCGUGAAAGGUUGUAGAAGGGUUUAGGUUGUUGCGUUCGUGCUGUAACGGGGCAAGGCUUGGCAGAGCACAGGAAAGGAUUCUCUGUUGCUCUGAUGUUUGCUUAAGGAUUGCAGUAGAAAGAUAGUAGGAAUAGUGUGCUGAAAUAUAUUUAAGAUUAGGCGCUUAGCGUUGCUUCGCGAUGUACGGGUUAGGCACGCAUAAGGAACAUUUAGCUUAGGGAGGGGGAGAUGUUGUAGUAGGCGCUUGACGGAGAUACGUGCUGUAUGGGAUAGGCCUAUCCCUAAGCACAGUGAAAGGGUGCUGUUGUGCUCAGACAGACAGUCCUUGCUAACGAAGUAAACAAGAUAAGAAGGCGAAGGAAUGAGGAGACAAUAGGAGCCAAAUAAGGAAUUGUAGUAAGGGGCUAAGAUCCAGUACGGAUGAAUCAGGACAGGGCACGAUAGCUCAAGUAAAAAUAUAUAAGCUGUGCUUAGUAGUGAAUAGACGCCAUUUUACUGCUCAUCAUAUUGGUGUGUGUCUGCAGUCAUUUGGCCCUGAUCAGGUAAUUGGUCAGUGUG
ensembl:lncRNA